AAUGACGUUGUGAUGUCAUUGCGUGAUAACGUAAAACUGCGUCAUUACGUAGAAUACACAAUAACGUUACUCAAAUUGACUGGCCAUCUCGGCAAAAAAUAUGAUUUGACAUUUGUUCAGGAGAGUUGAGCACCUAUCAGAUCCUCUGCUGUCCUUCACCCCUCGGUGCAGUCUGCUGACCAUCGCUGGGGCCAGGAAAAAGUCUGUCAACCGAGGUUCCAGGUGAUCUCCCAUCUUCUUCAUAGUGGCCUCAGCUGGACUCCACUGCAUAACCUCUUGGUCAGCUGGAAACCCACCGCAUAACUUCUAGCCAGGUGAAUCAAGAGCUUCACCAGAGACAGAAGAGGAAGCGAGACAUCCUGCCAUUCCUACGUCACUGCCUUAUCCGCUUGUUGCCCUGAUCCAGUCCCCCAUCAGUACACAUUUUUAUUGUAGCCCCAGACAAGCACAUCUGAUUCAACUUGUCAACUAAUCAUCAAGCCCUUGAGUUGAAUGAGGUGUGUUUGUCCGGGGGCUACAAUGAAAAUGUGUACGGUUAGGGGUACUUGAAGACCGGAGUUGGUAAACAACGAGGGAGUUCUAUUAACCUGAGCCGCGGUGCACUGGUCUAUGACCCAUGGUGUGAAAGGGAAAAAGCGGUGAGGGAGGAGUGUCCUUCUCAAAUCUAACAGUAAUUUGUGCCACUGUCAUGUUGUCGACAAGGCAGCAUGGUGCAUCUUUCAGAAACACAUUUUUUCCCAUAAAAUGUUUGAAAUGAAAACAACUAGUUUGAAAAUGUGAUUGCAGAUAAUGCGUUUUUAUCAAAAGCAAUCACUUUCACAUGUGAAA